AUGAACUGCAAGGCCGGCGACCGACGGUGCCAGCUAGACGCCCCCACCAUGCCCGUGUUCCUCGGCCCUCCCUGUGGCGGAGCGGGGCCACGACGGCUGCGGGAUCUGGCUGCAGUGCCGGCGCGCGGAGGUGCUCCGGCGGCGGUGCGAGAAGGCGCUCCGGCGACGUCACGGACGCGGCGGCAGCGUCAGCCCGAAGCUCGGCGGCGAUGUGGCAGGACUGCAAGAGGCGAUGGGCCGACGGCCCUUGAGUUUGACAGUGGUGUCUCCGGUGAAAGGCGGCGGCUGCGGAGCUUGCUUUGGUUGCUGAUACGAGGAAAAACGACGGAAGGAGCAGUGUUUUGGAAACAGGCGGAUUACCAGCGGAUUACAACUGUAACCCGUUGCGCCAGCCCUUCCCAGUUAUUAUCGGCCCGGCCCAACUGGGACCAAAUCUUCUUGUUCCUUUCCCGCACGACAUAUAUAUUCCCCCCACUCUUCUUCUCACCUGCUCACCUUCCCUCCACCCCGUUCAAACAAACGAAAAAAAAGGAAAACCUUCUCCACCAUUCCAUAGAUCUGCAAACCCUAAACCCUAGAGCAUCUGUCCGCUGGUCGACCUGCCAAGCCAUGUGGCCCUUCUCCAAGUCCAAGCAGCCGCUCCCGCUGAUCCGCUGCCCGGUCUGCGAUGUAGGCCUCGUCAAGCGGUUCGUCUCCAGGACGGCCAAGAAUCCGGGGCGCCCGUUCUACAGAUGCGAGUACCAGGGAAAGGGGGGCUGCAGCUUCUGGAAGUGGGAGGAGGAGUACGCCGCCUACCUCCGGGCGCGCUGGGGCCACAUCACCUCGGUGCCCGCCGUCGCCGCCGGGCCCGCCGAGCGCUAA
rnacentral:rRNA from 1 species